rnacentral:rRNA from 1 species
UACGAGAGGCCCAAACGUUAUUCGGAAUUACUGGGCGUAAAGCGCGUGUAGGCUGCUCGGAAAGUCGGAUGUGAAAGCCCUGGGCUCAACCUAGGAAGUGCAUUCGAAACUUCCGAGCUGGAGUACUGGAGAGGAAGGCGGAAUUCUCGGUGUAGAGGUGAAAUUCGUAGAUAUCGAGAGGAACACCGGUGGCGAAGGCGGCCUUCUGGACAGUAACUGACGCUGAGACGCGAAAGCGUGGGGAGCAAACAGG